GGUGGUGCAGGACUUUGUUUCAUCCAUGGUUCUAUAGACAGAGCUACCGGGUGGUGCAGGACUUUGUUUCAUCCAUGGUUCUAUAGACAGAGCUACCGGGUGGUGCAGGACUUUGUUUCAUCCAUGGUUCUAUAGACAGAGCUACCGGGUGGUGCAGGACUUUGUUUCAUCCAUGGUUCUAUAGACAGAGCUACCGGGUGGUGCAGGACUUUGUUUCAUCCAUGGUUCUAUAGACAGAGCUACCGGGUGGUGCAGGACUUUGUUUCAUCCAUGGUUCUAUAGACAGAGCUACCGGGUGGUGCAGGACUUUGUUUCAUCCAUGGUUCUAUAGACAGAGCUACCGGGUGGUGCAGGACUUUGUUUCAUCCAUGGUUCUAUAGACAGAGCUACCGGGUGGUGCAGGACUUUGUUUCAUCCAUGGUUCUAUAGACAGAGCUACCGGGUGGUGCAGGACUUUGUUUCAUCCAUGGUUCUAUAGACAGAGCUACCGGGUGGUGCAGGACUUUGUUUCAUCCAUGGUUCUAUAGACAGAGCUACCGGGUGGUGCAGGACUUUGUUUCAUCCAUGGUUCUAUAGACAGAGCUACCGGGUGGUGCAGGACUUUGUUUCAUCCAUGGUUCUAUAGACAGAGCUACCGGGUGGUGCAGGACUUUGUUUCAUCCAUGGUUCUGUAGACAGAGCUACCGGGUGGUGCAGGACUUUGUUUCAUCCAUGGUUCUAUAGACAGA